CGCGCUGUCGGGCCUAGAAAGGGAGGAGGUUUCCCGGCUGGCGCGAGGCCUCCGUCUUCUUCGGGAGUGCCCUCCACUUCGCGCGCUGCACUGUGGACCCCCCUGUGCCGCGUCGUGCCCAGGCGGGCCCCGGCAAAUGCGUGUCCCCGGUGGUGACCCGCUGCCGCGAGGGGUUCCAGGGUUCCGGGUUCCAAUAGGCCCGGAGGGGAGAAGAGGAGUAGAGUCACAGAGAUGAGAGUAAAGAAGCGGUGUCAGGACACCUGGGCAGACUUCACCGCUAUGCUACCACCAAAGAGAGUUAGAACGCUGACCAGAGCAGCAGUGCUGCACUAGCUGUUUCCUAGCAACAGAUUCUUCAUGCUGAACUGUCUCACCCUGAGUUCAGAUACUAGCCCUUGCUGCAUAUCUUUAAAGUAACUUUAAUACAACCUGACCAGUAUGCCAACAGUCCAGUAAUGCCAGCCUUUGGACGCCAAGCUUGCAACUUCCUGGUGACAGCCAACUGACCAGGACCCUGUAAGGUCUUUCCCCUUACAGGAAGGGACUCCCUCUGUGCUGCACCCCCCCCCCGCCCUUUCAGGGCACCCCUGACCCAGGGGUAGGUAGGACAGCGUCCAUUUCCAGCCGGAAGCAGUUAAAACAAGAUGAGACCUUCGUCCAUUUUCCUUUGAGUAUAAAUCUGAAAAGAGGAAUAUUAAUACAGGGUGCAUCCAAAGUGGGGGGCCCAGAAAGGAUUUGGGAUAAAUUCCGAAGUUCAGGGUGUCCAAGAAAUAUUAAGAUGUCCUCACCCCCUAGGGGGAAAGGACGAGUAGAGCGAGGCCAUUGAGAGCUGUUUUCAAUAGCAACAGUUUUGCGGCUGACCUCUGGAGUAAUUUGACAUAUCUGUGGCCUUUGGCUAGUUUUAUAAAUGUGUUGAAUAAUAUGGCCAGGCUUAAAACUAAGAGAAUAAAGUCACUUACCCGGGAUAUAACUAGGAGCAGAGCCCCUGAAGGGAGAGGCCUGUAUAAAAGUUUAGAGAAAAUCAGCUCCAAGACAUGAGGAGAUAAGUACCCAGGUAAAAGAGGGAGCCACUCAGUUUAGGGCAGAGUGAGGACCCCUGCAGCUUUGGUAGAAGAGGCCCACACAGCUUUGAGAUUCCCCCUUUGGCCGCGUGGCCUAGAAAGCAGAAAGCGGGAAAGACUUUGACUGGAACUUGGUGCAAAAGAACUCUUGCCAGUGGACCGUGAGGGAAUGCUGCAUAGCUUUGGAUUGGCUAGAGAUCCUGCCUGAUACAGCUGAUGGUGCCAGCAACCUGAAGCAUGGAUGGGUACUCUUUCCUAAUUUACAGUACUCAGAGUUAGGACAGUGCAAGUAGAGAGCAAAGACAUGAAAAUAUUUUAGGUUAAAAAAAACUUAGUUUCUGACUGCUCUUUUGCAAUAAUAGAACUAGAACUAUAGAUAAUAGCGAGAGAAAUACCUGGUCUUUACACCAUCUGUAUUCUUUUUGUUCUAAAUCUUUGAUUGCUUUGUUAGAACUAUGUAAGUAGUUCUACAAAGAAGCAUAUAAUAGUCCAAAAGAAGAAAAAGGCCUCAGAACCCCUCCCUGAUAGUAGAUCACAGGAGGAGAAAAAUAAUGAGGAAAGAAACCUCAUUAAUGCUCUAAAUCCAGGAAAAGGGGGGACUUGUUUAUUCCUACAAAAAUAUAUUAUGCUUAAACAAGCAACUAGUGCCGUUUAGCAUAAAAGGGGGGAAUGAUAUGGGAAAGUUUGAAAAACCUCUGUUUAAUCUUUAUUUGCCCAGGCCCCAGGUGCCCUAGGGAGAAUGAUGGGGCUGUCUAGGAUAAGUAGACAACAGUGCAUUAGCUAGGACUGAGAUUAACACCCCUGCUGUUAAAAACUGACCUUCAAAUUUAGCCUUUGUCCUCUGCUUCUGCCCCAUAGCUAGA